rnacentral:rRNA from 1 species
AAACGAUGCCAACCAGCGAUCCGCCUGAGUUCCUUAAAUGACUCGGCGGGCAGCUUCCGGGAAACCAAAGUUUUUCGGUUCCGGGGGAAGUAUGGUUGCAAAGCUGAAACUUAAAGGAAUUGACGGAAGGGCACCACCAGGAGUGGAGCCUGCGGCUUAAUUUGACUCAACACGGGAAAACUUACCCGGCCCGGACACUGGCAGGAUUGACAGAUUGAGAGCUCUUUCUUGAUUCAGUGGGUGGUGGUGCAUGGCCGUUCUUAGUUGGUGGAGCGAUUUGUCUGGUUAAUUCCGAUAACGAACGAGACUCUAGCCUACUAAAUAGGCCACCGGCUUACUGACGUCGGUGGGACUUCUUAGAGGGACAGGCGGCGAUUCAGCCGCACGAAACAGAGCAAUAACAGGUCUGUGAUGCCCUUAGAUGUCCGGGGCCGCACGCGCGCUACACUGAAGUGAUCAGCGUGCAUUACAAACCUGCUCCGUCAGGAGUGGGGAACCCAAUGAACCUUCUUCGUGAUUGGGAUAGGGGAUUGUAAUUAUUCCCCUUGAACGAGGAAUUCCCAGUAAGCGCGAGUCAUAAGCUCGCGUUGAUUACGUCCCUGCCCUUUGUACACACCGCCCGUCGCUACUACCGAUUGAAUGAUUUAGUGAGGUCUUCGGACUGGCCGGCGCAGCUGUCUUCGGGCGGCCGCGCUGUGUUUGGAAGAUGCCCAUACUUGAUCAUUU